CGGCCCGACGGUACCACCAGAGGAGCACCGGCUAACCCUGUGCCAGCAGCCGCGGUAAUACAGGGGGGUGACAAGCGUUGUUCGGAAUUAUUGGGGCGUAAAGCGCGUGUAGGCGGGCCACUAAGUCUGGUGUGAAAUCCCUCGGCUUAACCGAGGACGUGCAUUGGAUACUGGUGGCCUUGAGUCCUGGAGAGGGUAGCGGAAUUCCCAGUGUAGAGGUGAAAUUCGUAGAUAUUGGGAGGAACACCGGUGGCGAAGGCGGCUACCUGGACAGUGACUGACGCUGAGACGCGAAAGCAUGGGUAGCAAACAGGAUUAGAUACCCUGGUAGUCCAUGCCGUAAACGAUGGGUGCUAGUUGGUGCGGGUAUUGACCCCUGCGCUGACGAAGCUAACGCGUUAAGCACCCCGCCUGGGGAGUACGGCCGCAAGGCUAAAACUCAAAGGAAUUGACGGGGGGC
rnacentral:rRNA from 1 species